CGCACACACCCAGCCCCCCAACAUCAAAUAUAAGCCUUAUUGAUUAAAAGUUAAUGCCUUUAAAAUGUUAUUCUAAUAACACGCAAAUGUUAUGAUAACGUUACCGUUAAAUGUAAAAGGGAUGAAAUCAAAAAAUAGACCAUUAACACAUUUAUACGUUAAUACAUAGGCCUAUAGUUCCUAAGGUUAUUAUCUCUAUAUAUGGAAACUUUCUGUUAACAAUGAAAUGGUGUUUAAAGGAUAACACUAAAAUUUAAAAAAAGCAUGCUGAAAUAUAUCUUAUGAAGUGUGGCCGAAUGCUGCUUAUAUAAUAGAUAGGGUCUAUAAGGUCGAUCGUUGAGCCGAAAACCACCAAAAAUAAUCCCUCAACAUGUGUGAACAAACAAUAUUAAAAAAGAAUAUUAAAAAAUUCGUUCGUCAGCGACUAAAAAUUUUUUUAAAUCGCUAAUUAAAUAAAAUAUUUGUUAUAAAGAUGGUCAACGCUAGCGUUAAAUCUGACUAAUUAAUUCCUAACACUAACUACUCGUUGGAGCACGUGAUCAAAAAUUGGAACGGUUAUGAUUUUAAAUGAGCUGCCGCCGGCGUUUCAAGCUCGUGGAGUAAAAGCCAAUACUCGGGCGAUGCCGCAUUUCCAAAGAAGUCAACAGUUUCCAGCAAUCAAAACACUCAGUCCAAAGGCUUGGUAAGUACACAUUGUUCAGCCUGCGCUAGUACAACAUUCUCGGGGUGUGAUAAAGACUAAGUUCAUAUUUACGAGUUCAUUUCCACGUACCUUGUGACGUCAAUUUUUCCCACGGUCACGGGUUUUUACUGAUUUUUGAUUGGUUAAAACUGAAUGGGGAGAUGUUCAAUUAGCAUACAAAGAAAAACAGCGUAAAUAAGACGACUGUCAUUCUAGUUUGUUCACUGUCAUAUAUCUGAUUUCUGCGCUGUAGUACAAGAGCUUCAUGCAUUUCUGAAAGGAUUCACUUUGUUUGUUGAGAAAUGAUCUGGAUUAGAACUUCCAUCAGACAGCAUGUCGGGUUCAUGGAGGGAUUCUUAUACCACUGCACCACUCCAGUUGAUUUGCCAGAACAUUGUUUCUAGACGUCUUUAAGGCAGGUAAGCAUGGUAAGGUUUGAAUUAAAGCGCAUUUGCGUGUAUUACAUGCUAUAUUCACUUGGGCUACAUCUGCAAAUAGUUUUCUCCAUAUCUGGCCCGCCUAAUUCAGGGAAGCAUCAAUGAAUUGACGAACGUAGUGACUUAGAAAGUUUACAACUGCCCACUCUCUCAACUCAGCCAUCGCAAAUAAAUAAAGAUGUUGUUGUUGUCAUGUUGUUAUAUCAUUUUUCGUUUUAAAUUUCUAAGCCUUUAUACACUGUAGGCCAAUUAACGAUUCAUCAUUAAAUAUUUAAUACCGCAUUAUUGCAAUACAACAUUGGCCUAUCUCACUAAUGAUUUAUCUGCUGUGUUUACCCCUACUCUCAUCAUGUGACCAAUGAUACUGCCUAUUAUUGGCUCACAACAGCUGUGACAUUAAUUCAAAAUAAUGAAUAUGAAUUAUUAGUUCCAGUAUGCUGACCGAAAUACUUGGAUAGGUCAUAAUGAUCAUUGCUUCAUCUCCUGCCAGAUAUUAGCCUAAUGAAUUCAGGGGAAAAGUCACAUAAAUAGUAUACCACCCACUUCUGGGUUACCCAGUGGUCGCCGCACUCUUCUGGGUUGUAUAAUAAUCUGCUUUAGUGGAUUCCCUACCCUAAUUCCUGCCAUAAUCUGUGAUGAAAAAAGUAAAUUCCACACCUUCGUAGUAAUUUUAAAAAAGGCACGAUAAGAGUUAGCUCCUCAAUUUGUUGGUUUCGAAAGAGCUGGCUAGCCGCUAAGAAUGGCGAUGGCGGUCAACAACACUGCAAGUGCUCUGUCUUGGUAGCCCAGAAAUAGCGUCUUGUUGUUUUAAAAUAAAAAUCAAAACGUCCCUGGAAAAGAAAUAUGCUGUUUAGAUUUCAUGUCAGAACAGUUUUAGGUACAUGUAUGUAGAGCGUGUAUUUCUGUUUUCAGCACGAGUGCGGCUUGUUAGAUGACUAGCGGUCGUGCAGUCAUCAGUACGUCAUAUCGACAGUUUUCUCAAACUACUGAUCUGUGUACGUGGACUAAUAAAUAACAAACCUGAAAUUCAAAUAAAAAAGAGAGACUUCCCAACCAGCCUAAAGUUAACACCCAACAAAUAUAAUCUUAAUAUCAGUACACAUAUCUGCAUGUACAUAUUGAUGGUAAGAUUUCAUUUGCAUACAGAUGUCACAGCCUCCAAGAUAUGCAGACUCGACACACUUUCUCCUAGAAUAUCUGGCACCGGUCUAAUAGCUUCACCAUUCAUACUUAUGAUUAACAUGGUCAAAUAACUUAAUCCCUAGAAGUCACCAUCAUUCAUUUCACUUUAGUACAUGUCAAGUUAAAUUGAAAUUUAAAAAAUUAGACAGUUUCGUCAUCUGUGUUAAGGAAAGGCAAUGAUGAAGAAUUGAAAAACCAAAAUUUAUUGUUAAAAUACCUGCAUGUUUUAUUGCGAAUAUAAAAAUGUGUGUUCUCUCAUUUCCAGGUUGCUGUUUGUAUGCACAGAAAGCACGUUGUGCUCCACGAAUUUUUCUGCCAAAGAAAUGCUCGUGAUCCUGACGACGUGAGAGAGCAAAUACAAACGGAUGGAGUGGGUCAUGAACAUUGUUGAAGGUUAAUAUAGGCCAAUGGAUGACAGUGGCACCAUCAGUGCAAUACUACUUAUUCAAAAGCUUGAGAAACUCGUCAUUCAGGAUCG